UUGGUGCCGGAGGUCAGGCUGCAGCGGCACAGCAGCUGCUCAUGAUAACUGGGGCUCCGUGUUGCCGGCUGCCCUUUUAGCCAUGAGUCACAUGA
rfam:Erinaceus europaeus unplaced genomic scaffold scaffold01349, whole genome shotgun sequence